GGCAUGGUGGCUUAGUGGAUAGCACCUCGCACCUCUGGGGUUGGAGGUUCGAAUCCUGCCUUUGCCC